rnacentral:rRNA from 1 species
AGUCCACAUCGACGGGGAGGUUUGGCACCUCGAUGUCGGCUCAUCACAUCCUGGGGCUGUAGUAGGUCCCAAGGGUGUGUCUGUUCGCCCAUUAUAGUGGUACGCUAGCUGGGUUCAGAACGGCGUGCGACAUGUCGGUCCCUAUCCGUCGCAGGCGUAGGAAAUUUGAGAAGACCUGUCCUUAGGCCGAGAGGUACGGGAUGGACGUACCUCUGGUGUACCAGUUGUUCGGCCAAGGGCAUGGCUGGGUAGCUAUGUACGGAAUGGAUAAGCGCUGAAAGCAUCUAAGCGCAAAGCCAACUUCAAGAUAAGAUUUCCCACCGCAAGGGUAAGACCCCAGAAAGACUAUCUGGUUGAUAGGUCGAAGGUGUAAGUGCAGCAAUGUAUUUAGCUUAUCGAUACUAAUAGGUCGAGGACUUGACCAAU